UGACACAUUACAUCAUUGUCAUUCAUUAUCACCUUUCAAGUGUCACAGAAAUGGGGAGGGGUGGGUGGUGAAGAACUCCUGGAGAGGGAGAGAAUCUGAGAGACUGUUUCAGGAAGAACAAGACUAGCUGAUGUGGCUCAGCAGGGGAACAGAAGGGGGCUACCAAGAUGUUGAAGAAAGGAGCCCUCUUCAGAGGCUGCUUGGGGACCAGCAAGGAAGACGACUUCCUCCAUUCCUACCCUUGAGAGCCACCCUGUCUGAUAUGGGUGCCAGUUAAAGACAAAGGAGCCCCCUGGUCUGUUUGUGUGGAAUGGGAUCAACGUGGGCUAUCUCCUACUAAAACAGUAAAUGUGCAUUUUUGGUCAUUUAAUAACUAAGGGGAGCUAUGUACUUCCAGAUUAUGAACAGAACUUCAAAAGCAUUCAGCCCUCACCAACAAAAUUUCUGUAAA
rnacentral:lncRNA from 13 species